rnacentral:tmRNA from 2 species
GGGAGUGAUUGGCCUCGAGGAAGAGUACGAUUUCACGCGCUCAGGCAGAGCAUGCAAGGUUUGCUCUUAAAUCUUUCUUUGCAACACAAUAAGUGCAAACUUAUUUUCUAAGUUAAGAGUUGCUUUCAACGACGUUGGAGGCGUUGCUCUUCAACCUGCAUACGCAUUAGCGUAAGCCAUCCGAACAUUUGAUUCUCGCUGGAGUGUAAGGGUGUUAUAUUAGCGGGGCGAUGUUUUGUAAGCCCGACUUAACAUUCGAAUAUGGGCAAAAGUCCCCGCAAAUUGCGAGGCAACUAAGCCUGUCAACCGCCGACUUCAAACUUUUCCGACCAGGGUUCGAUUCCCUGCACUUCCACCA